rnacentral:rRNA from 1 species
AACGAACGCUGGCGGCAGGCCUAACACAUGCAAGUCGAGCGAAGCCUUCGGGCUUAGCGGCGGACGGGUGAGUAACGCGUGGGAACGUGCCCUUUGGUACGGAAUAGCCCCGGGAAACUGGGAGUAAUACCGUAUGUGGUCGAGAGACGAAAGAUUUAUCGCCAAAGGAUCGGCCCGCGUUGGAUUAGGUAGUUGGUGGGGUAAUGGCCUACCAAGCCGACGAUCCAUAGCUGGUUUGAGAGGAUGAUCAGCCACACUGGGACUGAGACACGGCCCAGACUCCUACGGGAGGCAGCAGUGGGGAAUCUUAGACAAUGGGGGAAACCCUGAUCUAGCCAUGCCGCGUGAUCGAUGAAGGCCUUAGGGUUGUAAAGAUCUUUCAGUGGGGAAGAUAAUGACUGUACCCACGGAAGGAGCCCCGGCUAACUCCGUGCCAGCCGCCGCAGUAAAAC